rnacentral:misc_RNA from 1 species
GAUGAAGAACGCAGCGAAAUGCGAUACGUAAUGUGAAUUGCAGAAUUCAGUGAAUCAUCGAAUCUUUGAACGCACAUUGCGCCCUCUGGUAUUCCGGGGGGCAUGCCUGUUCGAGCGUCAUUAUAACCACUCAAGCUCUCGCUUGGUAUUGGGGUUCGCGGUUUCGCGGCCCCUAAAAUCAGUGGCGGUGCCUGUCGGCUCUACGCGUAGUAAUACUCCUCGCGAUUGAGUCCGGUAGGUCUACUUGCCAGCAACCCCUAAUUUUUUUUAAGGUUGACCUCGGAUCAGGUAGGGAUACCCGCUGAACUUAAGCAUAUCAAUAAGCGGAGGA